GUCAUAGACCCCACGGCUGAAGCCGGGGGCUUGUCCUCCGGUUUUCAGCCGUAGGCCCGCAAAGGCCUCGCUAUGACCAGCCUUAGUGCCUGACCCGAAGGACAAGGGGAUGAAGGUGCUACGUUGGCGGGGAGAGCUAAAGUUCGCACUCCGGGAUGCUCCUCCAGUCCCGGACCCUGCAACCCGGCGGUUAAAAGCAAGCUGGGGGUGUAGCGAGCGGUGCCGCUGGGAAUAGCCGCCCGCCGACAUUGGCGAGGAGGGUGCCGA
rfam:Clostridia bacterium 41_269 MPF_scaffold_4, whole genome shotgun sequence.